UCUUGUUUUGUUUCUCAGGUUUUGUUUUUCUCUGUUUAGUUUUUUAGUUUAGUUUGAAAAUUGCUUAGAAAAUGGUAAAUUCUGACGAUAAGAAUUUUAAUUUGAUGGGCUACAGCUCUUCGAUUAACCUACGCCGAAUGGAGUAUCCUCCACUGGACUCGAUCCUGGGCCAAUCGCUUCCAGUCGCCCGGAACAUUGAGCGCCCUCCGGUCCUCUUCAACUGCAAAAAGCCAUCGUGCCUCGAAGCCUGCGGCCUCUUCCGGGUUCAAAUUGUUGGUUGACGAUAAUAAACUCAAAAUAGAAGGUGAAAAAGUCUCAAAUUUCCUGUAAGUAUCUUCUCAAUCAAACGAAUGGUCAUUGUGUAUUUGUGAAUUUGGAAAAUUUUGCGGACCGAGGAAGAAGGCCGGAUUCAAUGAUUUAUUCACUGUAUGACAUUGGUGAUGUCUAUAAAGUGAUAAUAAUUAUGCCCGAAUGUGCCGGAUCUUGAUUCGAAGCAGGGACUGUGUCCAGUAAGUACUGCAACCACUGCAACGGGACCGGAAAACAGGUGACAAUUAGCUUAUCGAUUUUUGAUGCGUUCCACCUGUCGCUAAUGCCAAGGUGCACGAAGUUUCGUCAAAUAUCCGUGCCCGGAAGCGGCGGUAAAGGACUGAUGGCCCUGAGAGAGCGGAUGACUAUGUACGUGUGACGGCGUUGGGGUUGGACAUGCUGUACAAAUGCGUGGAAACAAGAACGGCAAAGAUAGCACGCUUUUACAAAAAUAUUAUAAUAGACAACUUUAAAUACAAAUGGAUUGUUCUUCUCAAAUCCGGUUUAGCUGGUAUCAACUUUCGUCUGGCUUUCAUUCGCAAUUCGAUGUAGUACGCAAAUGGUUUAUCUACCCCUACCCUAUCGGCUGAUAUGAAAUGUUUUUUUCCCUACAUCCUGUCGAGGAUGUUCGGGACAUCGACACUUAUGAGUCCAGGAUGCCGUUUGUCCAGACCAUAAUGUGACUAUCACUGGAAAUUUGAAGGAUCGUCCUCAGGAGGAAAACAGUUCGAAGGCUUGAAAAAUAUAAGCAGUUACCGUUCAUAGCAACAAAAACUCACUGACAGAUGGGCAAAUUGUCGCAGAAUUCUCUGACCUUGAUAUGGAGGCUAUUCGGGCGAUUCGAUUGAAACCAUACUCGUUCUGCUCUUUGUGUCACAUAAUCAUCGGCCUGUGUUCAGACCAGAUUCAACAGUAAUAAUUUUUGUUAGCUUCAUUAGAGAGACUUGCAAAAUGAAAUUGUAACAGAUUAACUGCAAUAAGAUAGAACUAAAUAAAUUUUACGAUUGAGUAAAACUAAAUUGAAAUUGCGUACCUCAUGAAAUUGAAUUCAAAUUACACUGAAAUUAAAGUAAAAAUAGUAUAAAACAAGAUAAAAGUUAAAAUAGCACUAAAUGAAUUAAAAUUUAAUCAAUUAAUUUAGACCUACAUAUAUUUAAAAUUAUAUUAAUCUGAAUUUAAAUUAGAAUUAAAUUGAAAAAGACUUUUUUAGUCUUUAUUAAGGUGUUUUUUUUAAUCUACAGACUAAGUUCAACACCGGUGAAAAAGACAUUCUCAUUGUUUGUUUUCAGCAUUGGCAACGAUACAUAAUAAUUAUAUAUACUGCCUAUAGGCAUAUGAUCGCAUAUUAGUCCCUUUUGGAAAAACAUCAAAUGGAGUAAAUGAGGAACCAACAUCAAGCCUACUUGUCCCAUCUUGAAAAUGACUGCACAUGAGUCCAAUUAUUAAGGAACAAGGAACUCAUAAGGUCAUUUUCCAUCUAAGGUGAACUGGCUUGAUAUUUUUUCCGACUUUUGAACAAACAUUCCUAUUUAACAAUUGCAUUCGAUAAUACUGUGAUGAAUAUGACCGUUACAGAAGUUUUUAAGUAAUGAUUGAUAUAAAAAAAAUAUAAGUAAUAAUUUGAUAGAAACAAAAUGAGAUUUUACAAUGAACCGAAUAGAAUGAGAAAAUCAUUUCUGAUGAUGACCAGUUUAUAUAUUCACUUAUUCUUUCGGACAGAAUUAAGAAAAUGAGAAAAAAAAUCAGCUCUUUUAGUGGAAUGUCUUCAACUGUCUAAGACGAGUUUAGAACUUUCCAAUUAAUUCCACCCCGUUUUGUUAUCUUUCCAGAUACGACCUCAACUGUGAGGCC